UCUCUCAAAGACUCUGGUCAUACUACCUCCAACCCUCUUUCUUUUUCUAAACGUGAGCAAAACCUGCUCGGUUGAAUUGUCGGAACCAUGGUGAACGGCCGCAUACCCUCGGUCUUCUCGAAGACCUACGUGACUCCCCGUCGCCCCUAUGAAAAGGCGCGUCUGGACCAGGAGUUGAAGAUCAUCGGCGAGUAUGGUCUCCGCAACAAGCGCGAAGUGUGGCGCGUCAAGUACGCCCUGGCCAAGAUCCGUAAGGCCGCCCGUGAGCUGCUGACCCUCGACGAGAAAGACGAGAAGCGUCUGUUCCAGGGUAAUGCCCUGCUGCGCCGUCUGGUCCGUAUCGGUGUCCUGGACGAGUCCCGCAUGAAGCUCGAUUACGUGCUGGGUCUGAAGAUUGAGGACUUCUUGGAGCGUCGUCUGCAGACGCAGGUGUUCAAGCUGGGACUUGCCAAGUCCAUCCAUCAUGCCCGCGUCCUGAUCCGUCAGCGUCACAUUCGGUAAAUAUCGCUUGGACAGGCGACGACAUCGUCGCCAGGCUCUCUCUCAGAUAUAACUCUGUUCUGUUCAGUAAGACCACUUGGGAGUCGAACAGGCGCCAAUGCUUGUACCGGCUCUCAACGUCUUUUGAUUGUGCAUGUGACUCCGUUCACUCCAAUCGAAAAUGCAAAAUGCCCGCCUAGCUGUCCGCAAGCAGGUGGUCAACAUCCCGUCGUUCGUCGUGCGCCUGGACUCCCAGAAGCACAUCGACUUCUCCCUGAAGUCGCCCUUCGGCGGCGGCCGUCCCGGUCGCGUCAAGAGGAAGAACCUGAAGAAGAACCAGGGCGGUGGCGGUGGAGCUGCUGAAGAGGAGGAGGACUAAGCAGUGGUAGCCAGCUGUAGCCAAUAGAAAGACAUGGCGCAGACUUUUGAUAAAAAUCCGUUUGUUUUACACAAAUAAAUGUAAAAAGUACACGAA
rnacentral:misc_RNA from 1 species